GCUAGGAUAGCUCAGUCGGUAGAGCAUGAGACUCUUAAUCUCAGGGUCACGGGUUCAAGCUCCAUCGUGUUGGGCA